rnacentral:rRNA from 1 species
UACGGAGGGUGCGAGCGUUGUCCGGAAUCACUGGGCGUAAAGGGCGCGUAGGCGGCCUGUUGCGUCCGCUGUGAAAUCCCAGGGCUCAACCCUGGGCGUGCAGUGGAUACGGGCAGGCUGGAGGCAGGUAGGGGAGCGUGGAAUUCCUGGUGUAGCGGUGAAAUGCGCAGAUAUCAGGAGGAACACCAGCGGCGAAGGCGGCGCUCUGGGCCGGAACUGACGCUGAGGAGCGAAAGCGUGGGGAGCAAACAGG